AGGGCACCACCAGGAGUGGAGCCUGCGGCUUAAUUUGACUCAACACGGGAAAACUCACCCGGCCCGGACACUGGAAGGAUUGACAGAUUGAGAGCUCUUUCUUGAUUCAGUGGGUGGUGGUGCAUGGCCGUUCUUAGUUGGUGGAGUGAUUUGUCUGGUUAAUUCCGAUAACGAACGAGACUCUAGCCUACUAAAUAGAUCGUCGGCUUACAAACGCCGACGAGACUUCUUAGAGGGACAGGCGGCGAUUCAGCCGCACGAAACAGAGCAAUAACAGGUCUGUGAUGCCCUUAGAUGUCCGGGGCUGCACGCGCGCUACACUGAAGUGAUCAGCGUGCAAUUUACGUUUGGUGAUCUGUCAAGAUUGCCCAACCCGUUGAACCUUCUUCGUGAUUGGGAUAGGGGAUUGUAAUUAUUCCCCUUGAACGAGGAAUUCCCAGUAAGCGCAAGUCAUAAGCUUGCGUUGAUUACGUCCCUGCCCUUUGUACACACCGCCCGUCGCUACUACUGAUUGAAUGA
rnacentral:rRNA from 1 species